AAGAGCCGCAUUCUUCCUACUUUCAUUCUCCAGCCCCGCCCAGUUGUUUGACGGACACAGGUGGAACCCAAUCACAGGGACUGCACCUGGAAAUAGAGCGAGGGACCAAGACGAGAGAGCGAAAACCAAAGACAGAACGGGGCAAGGGGGAAGGUGUCUUGGCCCAGCCUGACUCGUAACAUAGACGUGAGUUGCAUGCGCAAAGGAGGGAAGGAUCCGAGGGGGGAAUCUGGAUGCAACAUGACCGCCUGCCUGGUGGAGCAGUAAGCCAACCACACCGGCUCCCGGGGGAUCUAUCAGCGUCUUCGGCGGACAACAAACGUCUUUACUGCCGGGUCCCCUAUAGAGACCGGAGAGGGAGUGGGGCCUUGGGAACAACCUGUAACGCAAACACAUCACCACAUUCAAUCUGCUGCCUUAUUAAUCUAAUCAACGGCUCAUUCAGCGCUCCUCAGAGGCAGCCAUCACUGCACGGCAGAGAAACUGAAGCCGACAACGACUGUCCGGUCCAGUGAAAACAGUUUUGAGGAUGACUUCCAUUUUCAAUUAGAGUGUAAAAUAGUGAUCGGGGGGGGGGAUUUGAAAAAGUAAUUGGUGCUCCAGAAAACACGUUUUAUUGGAUUAGGAAUUGGAGGAAUGGUACUGAUACCACCUAAUAUUUAGGUCAAAAGACGAUACCUUGAACAACUUCUCUCAGCUUGUUUUCUUUGAUCCAGCACUGACUGAACAGAAUUAUAACAUUUGUUGAUUAUUGAAAUAAAUGUUGUUAUCUGUGUAUAAAAUACCUGAUUUAUUUGACUAUUAGAGAAAUAAGAUGAACUCAAACUGUAAAAUCUGGCCGAAUUAUAACAUUUGUUAAUUAUUGAAAUAAAUGUUAUCUGUGUAUGAAAUACCUGAUUUAUUUGACUAUUAGAGAAAUAAGAUGAACUCAAACUGUAAAAUCUGGCCGACGUACACGGAGAUAACUCACACUUAUACACAUAUUGGACACAUAACUGACCACGUGAAACAUGUAAUAAGUAGAAAUUAAUCCAUAAUACAGAUUUGUGAAAUGAACCAAACACAUAUACUGCCAGUAAAGAAACAACUUUGCAGGUUCCUCUUGAACAAAAUAAAUUAUAUUAUAAUUUCUCUUCUAUUGAAACUUUCCCAUCCAUAAAGGAUCGUUCGUGACUAUUUUAGUUUAGUUGAGAGAGAAGGGACAUUGAGAAUGAUUUAAUACACAUGUCAUAACAUUUAUAGAACAGGGAUGAAUCAGAAUAAGCAAACGCUAUUAUUCCUGUCAACCAAGUUGUCACAAAAGACUUUAUGAGAAACAUCAGAGAAGUUUUAUUUCCAAAUUUGACUACAACUUAACAAGAUCAGAACCUUAGGAUGUGUAAGACAUUCUAUGUUACAGAUCAUUACAGAUUUGUUUGUUCAAUUAUUUGAGGUAAAUAUAGGUAAAUAGAUUUUAUUCUGAAUGAAUCACCUUAUCCUGUUUGGUACUUUCAGAUUUUAUUUUGUGAAAUUUGGAUUGAACCGUCUUGCUUUUGCUAUGCGUGAGGCAACUGGAGAGUCACACUUAGUCGGUGGCCAUAAAACUGGAUUAUACGGGCAAGCUCAUAGAAACACCAGGAUUCAAGCUGCUGAUGCGUCUAGAAGAGCAAGUAUAUGCUGCAAUUCUUAUUUGUUUAUAUGAUUGGAAUGCAACGUUAUAACUUCCCAAAACUAUGCAGUGGCACUUUGCGUAGGCGUUCUCAUGGCCGUGUAUUAACAUCACGACGGUAACUUUCUGUGCGUUUGCCCCCAGUGUUCAGUGGAUCCCUAAACUCACCAGCUGCUCUCAGUGUUUCAUCCAACAACUAAAUAACGGCUCUGGCUCAGGCUGUAUUUACAGGGUAAUGAAUGGGUAGCAGCUCUCACUUCCACACGCUCGCACACAAAAACAGCCGACAGACACACAUCCAGGCCGGGCUCACGCAAAUACGACAAACGCACACACAUCUUAAUCAUUGGCACACACCUCUGAAAGUAAUGAUCCCAGCAGGUCUGUUUGUGCACGCAGGUUUCAUGCUUGUCUUAUUUAGCUGCUGUUGUUGUGGUGAUAGAAACUGUAUGCAAACACAUUUGAGGGCGGCACAUACAGUCGGACAAGUUUGGAUGAUGAAAUGUUAAGAACUCACCACUGUGUUUCCUUUUACCUAACUGAGUAGUUUGUUUUGUGAACUUUGACUACUGAAGGUGAAUAUAACAUGUGUUUGUGAGGUUAAAAUAUAAGACGUGGGCUGCUUUGUAUCUUGGAUGACUGUCAGUUCCACUGCAUUAUCAAAUUGCUUUUCAUCAGUUCAUUAGAAAUGCAGUACAUGGCUAUAGUGUGGAGAGAUAAAUUGGAGGAAUCUAUUUCACUUUCAGGCGAACUUUCCAUUCUAAAUGAGCAAAUAGACCAAUCACGACAGAGUUGGCUGGCUGACCAAUCAGGGCAGACUGUCCUUUCUAAAGGGAGGAGCCAGUGGAGCAUCACUGGAGCAUUUCACAGAGACGGGGAGGAGAGCUGCAGCAGGACAGCCAAGAUGAGAGUGUUAACGCAAGUAAACGUGUUGGGACCGAAAAUUAGGAUACAAAUAUGGGAAAAAAAGAAUAACAAGCGUCACCUUAUAAAUGAGCAGACUAAGCAAACUGAUAGUACAACAACAGAAGAACAGGACAACCACAAUAGAUGCAACAGAAGAAAAGAAAGACAAAGAUGGACAUUUUGGAUUCCUCUACAAAUACAACAUCGACGGUUCCAUAACGGUUGGAUAAGAUUACAAAAGAAUGUAUUGUAAAUACACACAGUAAAAAAAGGUGCCAACUGGAACCAAAAAUGGUUCUAACCCAGAAGAACAAGAAACACCCAUGGCCAUUGAAAUGUCCGCAUCUUCAGCGUCCACCAUCAUUUGUCCAGUUUGUCCAUCCGCUACAAAAACGUCUGUCCUUUCACACGGGGGCUUCCCAUCGCUGCUGCUCAAGGCAAUCAUGGGUGUUGGGCUUUGUGGUUCCUAAAACUUAAAGCUGUAUUCUGUAAGUUUGUAAUGUUUUCAGAUUGAAGCUUUUUGAUAUACUUUGUUGCAUAUUAAAUGCUGGUUUGUUUACAAUGUUAAAUUACAUCGCCGCAUUCACCAACCGGCCUGCAAAUGACAAAUCAUUUAAUAAAAGAAGAAAAGAGUCACAACUCUGGUUCUAAAUCUCACCUGGAGCUGCAGGUAUUCUUUAAGACCAUUCUAUUUGUUAGAGGGGAGAUUUGACCCAACACACAGAGAUCACACAGGACUGAUAAUCUGUAGAAGGGAUUUUAAUGACUGGGGAUUUCAAUGGAAGGGGGACAGCCGGGUGAGGACGCCAGCGGGACGGAGGCAGGUGGCACGGCAGGUCAGAGCGGGGACAGCAGAAUCUGGACAAAGGAAUCAGGGUUAGACGCAAGAAUAGUAUGAGUACUCAAAGUCUUGGGGAGCCAGGAUCCGAAAACAAGUUACCACACAGGGGUAUAUAACGAUCUGGCGCUGGAGAAGCAGACAGCCCGGGUUUAAAUACCGGAGGGGUGAAUUGUGGAAUGUAGAUCAGCUGUGUGGGGACGGUUCAGGAUGACUGGCCACGCCUCUUGUAGGUGGAGACAAACAGCACAGACAGACACACCGGGGAAAAGGAAGGUACAAACACACAGGAUGGGGAGAAAACAGCAGCUGACCAUAACACUAUUCCAGUCAGAGAGAGACUUUGCCAACUAUA
ensembl:lncRNA